rnacentral:rRNA from 3 species
GGGUUGUGAGGUUAAGCGACUAAGCGUACACGGUGGAUGCCCUGGCAGUCAGAGGCGAUGAAGGGCGUGCUAAUCUGCGAUAAGCGCCGGUAAGGUGAUAUGAACCGUUAUAACCGGCGAUACCCGAAUGGGGAAACCCAGUGUGACUCGUCACACUAUCAUUAACUGAAUCCAUAGGUUAAUGAGGCGAACCGGGGGAACUGAAACAUCUAAGUACCCCGAGGAAAAGAAAUCAACCGAGAUUCCCCCAGUAGCGGCGAGCGAACGGGGAGGAGCCCAGAGCCUGAAUCAGCAUGUGUGUUAGUGGAAGCGUCUGGAAAGGCGCGCGAUACAGGGUGACAGCCCCGUACACAAAAGCGCAUGUGCUGUGAGCUCGAUGAGUAGGGCGGGACACGUGGUAUCCUGUCUGAAUAUGGGGGGACCAUCCUCCAAGGCUAAAUACUCCUGACUGACCGAUAGUGAACCAGUACCGUGAGGGAAAGGCGAAAAGAACCCCGGCGAGGGGAGUGAAAAAGAACCUGAAACCGUGUACGUACAAGCAGUGGGAGCACNNNNNNNNNNNNNNNNNNNNNNNCCUUUUGUAUAAUGGGUCAGCGACUUAUAUUCUGUAGCAAGGUUAACCGAAUAGGGGAGCCGGAGGGAAACCGAGUCUUAAUUGGGCGUUAAGUUGCAGGGUAUAGACCCGAAACCCGGUGAUCUAGCCAUGGGCAGGUUGAAGGUUGGGUAACACUAACUGGAGGACCGAACCGACUAAUGUUGAAAAAUUAGCGGAUGACCUGUGGCUGGGGGUGAAAGGCCAAUCAAACCGGGAGAUAGCUGGUUCUCCCCGAAAGCUAUUUAGGUAGCGCCUCGUGAAUUCAUCUCCGGGGGUAGAGCACUGUUUCGGCUAGGGGGCCAUCCCGGCUUACCAACCCGAUGCAAACUGCGAAUACCGGAGAAUGUUAUCACGGGAGACACACGGCGGGUGCUAACGUCCGUCGUGAAGAGGGAAACAACCCAGACCGCCAGCUAAGGUCCCAAAGUCAUGGUUAAGUGGGAAACGAUGUGGGAAGGCCCAGACAGCCAGGAUGUUGGCUUAGAAGCAGCCAUCAUUUAAAGAAAGCGUAAUAGCUCACUGGUCGAGUCGGCCUGCGCGGAAGAUGUAACGGGGCUAAACCAUGCACCGAAGCUGCGGCAGCGACACUGUGUGUUGUUGGGUAGGGGAGCGUUCUGUAAGCCUGCGAAGGUGGCCUGUGAGGGUUGCUGGAGGUAUCAGAAGUGCGAAUGCUGACAUAAGUAACGAUAAAGCGGGUGAAAAGCCCGCUCGCCGGAAGACCAAGGGUUCCUGUCCAACGUUAAUCGGGGCAGGGUGAGUCGACCCCUAAGGCGAGGCCGAAAGGCGUAGUCGAUGGGAAACGGGUUAAUAUUCCCGUACUUGGUGUUACUGCGAAGGGGGGACGGAGAAGGCUAUGUUGGCCGGGCGACGGUUGUCCCGGUUUAAGCGUGUAGGUGUGUGUUCCAGGUAAAUCCGGUUCACUUUAACACUGAGGCGUGACGACGAGGCACUACGGUGCUGAAGCAACAAAUGCCCUGCUUCCAGGAAAAGCCUCUAAGCAUCAGGUAACAUCAAAUCGUACCCCAAACCGACACAGGUGGUCAGGUAGAGAAUACCAAGGCGCUUGAGAGAACUCGGGUGAAGGAACUAGGCAAAAUGGUGCCGUAACUUCGGGAGAAGGCACGCUGACACGUAGGUGAAGUGAUUUACUCAUGGAGCUGAAGUCAGUCGAAGAUACCAGCUGGCUGCAACUGUUUAUUAAAAACACAGCACUGUGCAAACACGAAAGUGGACGUAUACGGUGUGACGCCUGCCCGGUGCCGGAAGGUUAAUUGAUGGGGUCAGCGCAAGCGAAGCUCCUGAUCGAAGCCCCGGUAAACGGCGGCCGUAACUAUAACGGUCCUAAGGUAGCGAAAUUCCUUGUCGGGUAAGUUCCGACCUGCACGAAUGGCGUAAUGAUGGCCAGGCUGUCUCCACCCGAGACUCAGUGAAAUUGAACUCGCUGUGAAGAUGCAGUGUACCCGCGGCAAGACGGAAAGACCCCGUGAACCUUUACUAUAGCUUGACACUGAACAUUGAGCCUUGAUGUGUAGGAUAGGUGGGAGGCUUUGAAGUGUGGACGCCAGUCUGCAUGGAGCCGACCUUGAAAUACCACCCUUUAAUGUUUGAUGUUCUAACGUGGACCCGUUACCCGGGUUGCGGACAGUGUCUGGUGGGUAGUUUGACUGGGGCGGUCUCCUCCUAAAGAGUAACGGAGGAGCACGAAGGUUGGCUAAUCCUGGUCGGACAUCAGGAGGUUAGUGCAAUGGCAUAAGCCAGCUUGACUGCGAGCGUGACGGCGCGAGCAGGUGCGAAAGCAGGUCAUAGUGAUCCGGUGGUUCUGAAUGGAAGGGCCAUCGCUCAACGGAUAAAAGGUACUCCGGGGAUAACAGGCUGAUACCGCCCAAGAGUUCAUAUCGACGGCGGUGUUUGGCACCUCGAUGUCGGCUCAUCACAUCCUGGGGCUGAAGUAGGUCCCAAGGGUAUGGCUGUUCGCCAUUUAAAGUGGUACGCGAGCUGGGUUUAGAACGUCGUGAGACAGUUCGGUCCCUAUCUGCCGUGGGCGCUGGAGAACUGAGGGGGGCUGCUCCUAGUACGAGAGGACCGGAGUGGACGCAUCACUGGUGUUCGGGUUGUCAUGCCAAUGGCACUGCCCGGUAGCUAAAUGCGGAAGAGAUAAGUGCUGAAAGCAUCUAAGCACGAAACUUGCCCCGAGAUGAGUUCUCCCUGAGACUUAAAGUCUCCUGAAGGAACGUUGAAGACGACGACGUUGAUAGGCCGGGUGUGUAAGCGCAGCGAUGCGUUGAGCUAACCGGUACUAAUGAACCGUGAGGCUUAACCUUACAACGCCGAAG